ensembl:lncRNA
CGCGCCCGUGAGGUCACCCGGCACGAUUUUUCCGAGCCAGAACAAAGAACCCGAGCCGUCACAGAUGUUAUACGUGUUAUUUUUCUCCUCGUCACCUCCUCCCCCUCACAUAUGUUCCGUUUCUGUAGGUUAGUUACAGCUCGUUAAGAAAGAAAGAAGAAAUGAAAUAAACAGCACUGCUAUUCUCAGACUCUGAGGUGGAGAAUUGUGAUGUUCGGACUCCUUUUUUUUUUUUCUCUUUCUUUCUCUCUCUCUCUUUCCGGGGUUUGUUCUGCGUAAUAAAUGACGCAGGAGCCUAAAGCGUGCUCCUGUUCUGUUUUAAACUCCCAUGAGAAGUCAGCAGCCGUGCGUUGUGUUGAUGUCAUAAGGGCGCAUCGAUAUUGCUAGGGCAUGUUACCGUGGCGUUUAAUAAAUACAACAGCUUAUUUCGAGAAUCGAGAAAUCCGACGUAGAAGUAAACGCUGAACUCGCACUUCCAGAACGCGGUACGGUCGCUCAGGGUUACGCCAGAGGCUCGGCUCGGCUAGUCGGCGAGCUAGCACAUGACGAGCACGGCGUUAGCAUGAAACAUACGGUUUGCUCAGGGUUACGCCAGAGACUCGGCUCGGCUAGGCUAGUCGGCAAGCUAGCACAUGACGAGCACGACGUUAGCAUGAAACAGUACGGUCGCUCAGGGUUACGCCAGAGACUCGGCUCGGCUAGUCGGCGAGCUAGCACAUGACGAGCACGGCGUUAGCAUGAAACAGUACAGUCGCUCAGGGUUACGCCAGAGACUCGGCUCGGCUAGUCGGCGAGCUAGCACAUGACGAGCACGGUUAGCAUGAAACAGUACGGUCGCUCAGGGUUACGCCAGAGACUCGGCUCGGCUAGUCGGCGAACUAGCACAUGACGAGCACGGUUAGCAUGAAACAGUACAGUCGCUCAGGGUUAUGCCAGAGGCUCGGCUCGGCUAGUUGGCGAGCUAGCACAUGACGAGCACGGCGUUAGCAUGAAACAGUACAGUCGCUCAGGGUUACGCCAGAGGCUCGGCUCGGCUAGUCGGCGAGCUAGCACAUGACGAGCACGGUUAGCAUGAAACAGUACGGUCGCUCAGGGUUACGCCAGAGACUCUGCUCGGCUAGGCUAGUCGGCAAGCUAGCACAUGACGAGCACGACGUUAGCAUGAAACAGUACAGUCGCUCAGGGUUACGCCAGAGACUCGGCUCGGCUAGUCGGCGAGCUAUCACAUGACGAGCACGACGUUAGCAUGAAAAUUGAAGCUUUGACUUGGGUGUCUACAAUUUCAGAAGCGAGAGUAAAAGCAAAUGCAGAUCAAAGAAGGCAAUAAUCCGGAAACGUUUCUAGCUAAGCUCCGUACUGAUC